GAGCAGAAGAGGAAGAAUAGAGGGCCUUAGAGUAGUAGGAAUGGGAACAUGGAGGAAAGCCUAACUUCCUUCAUUAUGACCUCUUUGUGUUGGAGGUGAUAAUUUUGUUUGGUGUUUCCCGAUGCCUCCCAUUCCUAUUGUUCUAAAGCACUCCUUCCUCUUCAUUUUUUGG
rnacentral:pre_miRNA from 1 species